UCGUUCGUCUGACUUGGG
rnacentral:snRNA from 1 species